rnacentral:rRNA from 1 species
AACCUUUAGCUCUAAACCAAGUAUUAAAGGCAACGCCUGCCCAGUGAACAAUUAAACGGCCGCGGUACCCUAACCGUGCAAAGGUAGCGUAAUCACUUGUCUAUUAAUUGUAGACCCGUAUGAAAGGCAAAAUGAGGGCCUAACUGUCUCUUAUAAUUAAUCAAUUAAACUGAUCUCCCAGUACAAAAGCUGGAAUACUAACAUAAGACCAGAAGACCCUGUGAAGCUUAAACUAAACUAUUAAACCAUAUAAUAGCUCCUUUCGGUUGGGGCGACCUUGGAAAAAAAAAGAACUUCCAAACAACAUAGGCUCUUAAACCUACUUAUAAGGCCAACAAGCCAAACAACGACCCAGCAUUGCUGAUUAAUGAAACAAGUUACUCCAGGGAUAACAGCGCUAUCUUCUUCAAGAGCCCAUAUCAAAAAGAAGGUUUACGACCUCGAUGUUGGAUCAGGACAUCCUAAUGGUGCAGCCGCUAUUAAGGGUUCGUUUGUUCAACGAUUAAUAGUCCC